rnacentral:rRNA from 1 species
UACGGAGGGGGGCUAGCGUUGUUCGGAAUUACUGGGCGUAAAGCGCACGUAGGCGGCUUUGUAAGUUAGAGGUGAAAGCCCGGGGCUCAACUCCGGAAUUGCCUUUAAGACUGCAUCGCUAGAAUUGUGGAGAGGUAAGUGGAAUUCCGAGUGUAGAGGUGAAAUUCGUAGAUAUUCGGAAGAACACCAGUGGCGAAGGCGACUUACUGGACACAUAUUGACGCUGAGGUGCGAAAGCGUGGGGAGCAAACAGG